GCUGGGUGUGGUGGCCCACACCUAUAAUCCCAGCAGCUUGGGAGGCUGAGACAGGAGGAUUGCCCAAAGCCAGCCUCAAGCAAAAGUGAAUCACUAAGCAACUCAGUGAGACCCUGUCUCCA
rnacentral:sRNA from 1 species